rnacentral:tRNA from 1 species
GAUUAAGACAAUUGAAAUAUUCUUUAUUAUUAAUUAUUAAAU